CCGAACAAAGCGGGAGAAAGAAAGAGAGAAGCCGUUUCACGGCGGACUUACACGGCUGAUUUCUAUCGCCGCGCUUCUUCCUCGCUAUCGCUUUUCAGUGUGCACAGAGAGAGGGGUUAAAAAAUACACGGGGACAUGCGAUAUACUUGCUCUCGCUCGCUUCCCCAAAAGGGAAUGGAAAAGCCUUAAACAUCCUUUCAGAAUUUAUUUCACGAAGAACGUCAUCGUCCACCACUUCUACAAUCUGAUCUCUGGCUUGCCUCAAUAGUAGCAACGAAUUGCAAACAGCAAAUUCGACCUGCAGCUCUUUAUCUUAAUUUCUAUUUCCUGCAGGUUCCUCAAAAGUUAUUCAAACGAACAGAAAUCCUUAAAACAUGAUACAUAACUUAAAACCGGAAUGCCUUUACUUUUCCAUCCUGUAAUAUAUCUAGUAUAUUUUAGAUUAACAGUCUAUAUUUUACUCAUACACAAGAAAAUCUGCAGUUUUCAUGGAAACCUAAGAUUGUGCAGAACAUAGUUUGAAAAAAAAUCUGGCCUAGACUAGGAAGUGGAAAAUAUACACUGUAAGAAGCAAAGAUGUCCUUGAAUGAUAAGGAUCAUUUGCUUGUUAUUGAUAAUGCAAUCAGAAUUUUGGAUGAAGUAUCAUCUGAAAUGAAUAAACUUAUUGGUAAUUUCUAAUGCCACAGUCAGAAUAAAGAUAUGAAAUGAAGAAUGA